rnacentral:sRNA from 1 species
ACAUAGCCCCGAUUGUAGCGACAUCCUUUUUUCUUUGAAAAAAGAUAUAGCGAAAAGCGGGUUGGAAA